UACAGAGGGGGCAAGCGUUGUUCGGAAUUACUGGGCGUAAAGGGCGCGUAGGCGGUUCGAAAAGUCCCGCGUGAAAGCCCCCGGCUCAACUGGGGAACUGCACGCGAAACUGCCGGGCUGGAGUUCGGGAGAGGGAAGCGGAAUUCCGGGUGUAGCGGUGAAAUGCGUAGAUAUCCGGAGGAAUACCGGUGGCGAAGGCGGCUUCCUGGACCGACACUGACGCUGAGGUGCGAAAGCUUGGGUAGCAAACAGG
rnacentral:rRNA from 1 species